rnacentral:rRNA from 1 species
AUUGAACGCUGGCGGCAGGCCUAACACAUGCAAGUCGAACGAGUGGCGGACGGGUGAGUAAUGUCUGGGAAACUGCCUGAUGGAGGGGGAUAACUACUGGAAACGGUAGCUAAUACCGCAUACCAUCGGAUGUGCCAAGAUGGGAUUAGCUAGUAGGUGGGGUAAAGGCUCACCUAGGCGACACUCCCUAGCUGAUCUGAGGGGAUGACCAGGCACACUGGAACCGCGACAUGGUGCAGCCGCCUAGGGGAGGCAGCAGUGGGGAAUAUUGCACAAUGGGCGCAAGCCUGAUGCAGACAUGCCGCGUGUAUGAAGAAGGCCUUCGGGUUGUAAAGUACUUUCAGCGGGGAGGCGUUACCCGCAGAAGAAGCACCGGCUAACUCCGUGCCAGCAGCCGCGGUAAUAC